rnacentral:rRNA from 1 species
GAUGAACGCUGGCGGCGUGCCUAAUACAUGCGAGUCGAGCGAACAGACGAGGAGCUUGCUCCUCUGACGUUAGCGGCGGACGGGUGAGUAACACGUGGAUAACCUACCUAUAAGACUGGGAUAACUUCGGGAAACCGGAGCUAAUACCGGAUAAUAUAUUGAACCGCAUGGUUCAAUAGUGAAAGACGGUUUUGCUGUCACUUAUAGAUGGAUCCGCGCCGCAUUAGCUAGUUGGUAAGGUAACGGCUUACAAAGGCAACGAUGCGUAGCCGACCUGAGAGGGGAACCGCCCACCCAGAAACUGAGACCCGUCCCAAACCCCAACGGGAGGCAGGAUUGGGAAAUCUUCCGCAAGGGGCGAAAGCUUGACGGGGCAACGCCGGGGGGGUGAUGAGGGGCUUCGGUUCGUAAACCUCUGUUAUUGGGGAAAAAAAAAUGUGUAAGUAACUAUGCCCGUUUUGCCGGGCCCAAACCAGAAAGCCCCGCCUAACUCCGG